UACGGAGGGGGCUAGCGUUGUUCGGAAUUACUGGGCGUAAAGCGCACGUAGGCGGUGUUCCAUGUCAGAGGUGAAAGCCUGGGGCUCAACUCCAGAAUUGCCUUUGAAACGGGGACGCUUGAGUCCGAGAGAGGGUGGCGGAAUUCCUAGUGUAGAGGUGAAAUUCGUAGAUAUUAGGAAGAACACCAGUGGCGAAGGCGGCCACCUGGCUCGGUACUGACGCUCAGGUUCGAAAGCGUGGGGAGCAAACAGG
rnacentral:rRNA from 1 species